rfam:Schistosoma mattheei strain Denwood, Zambia genome assembly, scaffold: SMTD_scaffold0007820
AUUUAGCUGACAAGUCCCAAAUAAGACGAAAAGCGUGUUCUGAAU